CCUACGGGAGGCAGCAGUCGGGAAUUUUGGGCAAUGGGCGAAAGCCUGACCCAGCAACGCCGCGUGAAGGAUGAAAUCCCUCGGGAUGUAAACUUCGCAAGAUUGGGAAGAAUUAGUAGGGGUUAAUACCCUCUAUGAUGACGGUACCUUUUGUAAGCUCCGGCUAACUCCGUGCCAGCAGCCGCGGUAAUACGGGGGGAGCAAGCGUUGUUCGGAUUUACUGGGCGUAAAGGGCGCGUAGGCGGUCAGCACAAGUCAGUUGUGAAAUCUCCGGGCUUAACUCGGAAAGGUCAACUGAUACUGUGCGACUAGAGUGCAGAAGGGGCAACUGGAAUUCUCGGUGUAGCGGUGAAAUGCGUAGAUAUCGAGAGGAACACCUGCGGCGAAGGCGGGUUGCUGGGCUGACACUGACGCUGAGGCGCGAAAGCCAGGGGAGCGAACGGGAUUAGAUACCCCGGUAGUCCUGGCCUUAAACGAUGGAUGCUUGGUGUCUGGAGUUUUAUAGUCUCCGGGUGCCGCNGCUACGCGUAGCNUCCGCCGUCGGGAGGUACGGUCGCGAGACUGAACGUACAAGUAGAGUUAGACGGCGUGAGACGUGCCGACGGACGACGACGAGGGAGGUUAGG
rnacentral:rRNA from 1 species